rnacentral:rRNA from 1 species
UCCGAGCGUUGUCCGGAAUUAUUGGGCGUAAAGAGCUCGUAGGCGGCGUGUCGCGUCUGCUGUGAAAGACCGGGGCUUAACUCCGGUUCUGCAGUGGAUACGGGCAUGCUAGAGGUAGGUAGGGGAGACUGGAAUUCCUGGUGUAGCGGUGAAAUGCGCAGAUAUCAGGAGGAACACCGGUGGCGAAGGCGGGUCUCUGGGCCUUACCUGACGCUGAGGAGCGAAAGCAUGGGGAGCGAACAGGAUUAGAUACCCUGGUAGUCCAUGCCGUAAACGUUGGGCGCUAGGUGUGGGGACUUUCCACGGUUUCCGCGCCGUAGCUAACGCAUUAAGCGCCCCGCCUGGGGAGUACGGCCGCAAGGCUAAAACUCAAAGGAAUUGACGGGGGCCCGCACAAGCGGCGGAGCAUGUUGCUUAAUUCGACGCAACGCGAAGAACCUUACCAAGGUUUGACAUCACCCGUGGACUCGCAGAGAUGUGAGGUCAUUUAGUUGGCGGGUGACAGGUGGUGCAUGGCGUCGUCAGCUCGUGUCGUGAGAUGUUGGGUUAAGUCCCGCAACGAGCGCAACCCUUGUUCCAUGUGCCAGCACGUAAUGGUGGGGACUCAUGGGAGACGC